ensembl:snRNA U6 U6 spliceosomal RNA
GUGCUCAUUUCAGCAACAUAUACACUAAAAUUGUGAACAAUACAGAGAUUAACAUGGCUUCUGAACAAGGAAGACAUGCAAAUUCAUGAAGCAUUUUAUAUUUUU